UGGAUGCCUAAAAUCAAGUCGUACGAGAGUUUUUAACUCUAGUGGCGGACGGGUGAGUAACACGUGAGAAUUUACCUUUAGGAGGGGGAUAACAAUUGGAAACGAAUGCUAAUACCCCAUAUGCUUUCGAGUGAAAUGGAUUUAUAUUUAUUCGCCUAAAGAGAAGCUCGCGGCUGAUUAGCUUGUUGGUAAGGUAAGAGCUUACCAAGGCGACGAUCAGUAUCUGGUUUGAGAGGACGAUCAGACACACUGGAACUGGGACACGGUCCAGACUCCUACGGGAGGCAGCAGUGGGGAAUUUUCCGCAAUGGGCGAAAGCCUGACGGAGCAAUACCGCGUGAGGGAAGACUGCCUAUGGGUUGUAAACCUCUUUUUUCAGGGAGGAAUAAAUGACGUGUACCUGAAGAAUAAGCAUCGGCUAACUCCGUGCCAGCAGCCGCGGUAAGACGGAGGAUGCAAGUGUUAUCCGGAAUCACUGGGCGUAAAGCGUCUGUAGGU
rnacentral:rRNA from 1 species